AAAAGCUUCAAACUGGGAUUAGAUACCCCACUAUGCCCGGCUGUAACACAACAAUUAAACAACCAAUUGUUCGCCAAAUAACUACGAGUAUAAACUUAAAAUUUAAAAGACUUGACGGUACUUCAUAACAACCUAGAGGAGCCUGUCUAAUAACCGAUACCCCACGAUUAACCCAACCCGACCUAGCCUAAAGCCAGCCUAUAUACCGCCGUCGCCAGCCCACCUUGUGAAAGAAACAAAGUGAACAAAAUAAGCCACCCCUUAACACGACAGGUCGAGGUGUAGCUAACGGACGGGUAAAAGAUGGGCUACAUUUUCUCACGCAGAAAAUACGAAUAAACCAUGAAACUAGAAACUGAAGGCGGAUUUAGCAGUAUGAUAAGAAUAGAAUCCUUAAUAGAAACCAACGCAAUGAAGUGUGUACACACCGCCCGUCACCC
rnacentral:rRNA from 1 species